rnacentral:rRNA from 1 species
CGGCAGGCUUACACAUGCAAGUCGAGGGGUAACAGGGAUUGCUUGCAAUCCGCUGACGACCGGCGAACGGGUGCGUAACGCGUAUGCAACCUACCUUUUACAGGGGAAUAGCCCAAAGAAAUUUGGAAUAAUACCCCAUACGAUCUUUAUUUGGCAUCAAUUAAAGAAGAAAACUCUGGUGGUAAAAGAUGGGCAUGCGUCCUAUUAGUUAGUUGGUAAGGUAACGGCUUACCAAGACUACGAUAGGUAGGGGUCCUGAGAGGGAGAUCCCCCACACUGGUACUGAGACACGGACCAGACUCCUACGGGAGGCAGCAGUGAGGAAUAUUGGACAAUGGAGGCAACUCUGAUCCAGCCAUGCCGCGUGCAGGAAGACUGCCCUAUGGGUUGUAAACUGCUUUUAUACAGGAAGAAUUGCAUCUACGUGUAGUUGCUUGACGGUACUGUACGAAUAAGGAUCGGCUAA